ensembl:lncRNA
CCCUAUGGACUGUAGCCCCCCAGACUCCUCUGUCCAUGGGAUUCUCCAGGCAAGGAUCCUGAAGUGGGUUUCCAUGCCCUCCUCCAGGGAACUAAGACCAUCUUACAAGCCUGGAAGUGCAGCCAAAUAAAGAAAUAAUGCUUCUAAAGAAUGUUUUAUAAUUAUUAUAUAAAUAAUAAUAAUCAAUCAGCUGAAUGACCGACCUCAGGCUAUCUAAGGGAAAAGCAGAAACCAGUGGAAGGAAGUCACGCUGAUGAUCUAUUUCUAAACACCUCCCCGUUGGUGACUCAGCACAGACAUCUCUUCAGCAAGCCCCAACUCCAUGGGCUAGCACAGGGAGUGGGCUUCUCCUGUUGUGACUCAGAAGUUUCAGCAUGAGGACUUACUGCUCCAAGGCAUGGGGGAAUCUUAGUUCCCAACCAGGGAUCAAACCCAGGUCUCCUGCAUUGGAAGAUGGGUUCUUAACAGUGGACCACCAGGGAAGUCCCUCUGCAGAUGGCGCUUUUCCUGAAGGUCCAACUGCCACGCUUUCCCCUGACUGCCUGGGGCAGUGCCUGGACCAGAGGAAGGCCGCUGUAUUCGCGCAAUGAAUGGUCAUACAGAAAAAGUCAGCUUCAAAAAUAUGGCUCUUUACCUUCUGCCCACUAGGACGGCUAUAAUUUAAAAGAAAUACACAGGAGGACCUCCCUGGUGGCCCAGUGGUUUAGACUUCGUUUAAACCACCACUUAAACAACCAAUGAAACGGGCGCAGGUUCAAUCCUGGGUCAGGGAGUUAAGCUCCUACAUGCCCUGUGGCCAAAAAACUCAAAGAUAAAACAGAAGCAGUAUUAUAACAAAUUCAAUAAAGAAUCAAAAAAGGUUUUAAAUAAAACCAAAAAAUAACAGAAAAUAACAAGUGUUGGUGAGGAUGUGGCGAAAUUGGACCCUCCUACUUUGCCAGUGGGAACGUGAAAUGGUGCAGCCACUGUGGAAGAUGGUACUUUCACAGAGUGAUCAUAUGACCCAGCAAUUCUACUCCGAAGUAUAAACCUCAGAGAAUCAAAAACAUGGCCACACAAAAAUGUGACUGUUCAUGGCCGCACUGUCCGAAGUAGGCAAAAUGUGAAAAUAACCCAAGCAUUCAGCGGUGGACGGAUGGACAAACAGAAUAAACAGAAUGGGUUCCGUCCAUACAAUGGAAUAUUAUUCAGCCAUAAAAAGGAAUGAAGCACUGAUAUAGGCACACAUAGACAUAGACAUUGGAGAAGGAAAUGGCAGCCUGCUCCAGUGUUCUUGCCUGGAGAAUCCCGGGGACGGGGGAGCCUGGUGGGCUGCCGUCUAUGGGGUCGCACAGAGUCGGACGCGACUGAAGUGACUUAGCAGCAGCAGCAACAGAAGUAGACAUGGAUGAACGGUGAAAACAUGAUGCUGAGUGAAAGAAGUCAGUCAGAAAAGGCCACAAUGUCUACAAUUCCAUGGAUAUGAAGUGCCCAGAACAGGCGGAUUUACAGAGACAGAAAGCAGACUAGUGGUUGCCAGGGUCUGAGGGAGGUGGGGGAAUGGAGGGUGACAGUUAAUGGGG